CCAGAGUGCGCGCGCGCUCCGCCACGCGGACCCUGGAUGGGAGGAGGUGGACAUAAGGGCUAGGCUUGGAGGGGGAGGAGCUCAGCACGCAGUCCGACAACUGGCGGUGGAGAGGACUGCAGCGCAUGCGUUCGCCCCUCCUUAGCGCUGAGCCCGAGCUUGUUGCUAGGGGAAGCUUUGAGGGGGCGCCAGUGGAAGGAAAGAAGCAGCCGUGAUCUGCGCCUGCGUAUAGGUAGCGGUUGGGAGGAGCCAGGGAAGGAGGCUUGCUGGGCGUGGAAAAGGCGGGAAAACGGACUCCUCUGGUUAGUAACCAUACAGCCAGGACGUGGCCUCCCAAGUUCGAAGAAUCUUUGCUGGGAAAACUCAAUCCGUCAAACCCCUUCAGGAAGCAGGCCUCUCACAAUUGCAUGACCUAACCAAGGUCACACAGCAUUUAUGUCAAAGCAUUCCCAGACCAUACCCACCUGAUUCUCUCAACUAGUUGAAACUAUCGAUUUUAUUUCAUAGAAGAAAACAAGACAUAAAGUGGCAGUUCUGUGAUCAAAAUCAGGUGUUUUCCAAAGGACUGGAGCAAAGAACCUUACCUGAGAACAAGAUGGGAACUAGGCCAGUGCCCUCAGAGCCGGGUUCUAGACCAGUGGGACUCCCGGCGUGGGUGGAAGCACACAGCAGUGAAACAGCAGAGAAGGCCACAGAAGAAAAGCAGGAAGGAGCCCAAAACAAGCAGUCUGGAGCCACACAAAGCCAACUCCUCCUAAGGAUGAGCAAAGGGGGGUAAAACUGCCCCCAGAAGCCUUCUGGACAGAGCAUUCAGCGCGGCAGUCUAUGAAACCCCAACAACCUAGGCUCUUACCGAGGUGAGCAACUUGGUGAGCACAAGGCCUUCGUGGCUCCAGACCCUGACACACUCCUCAGCCAUCCUAUGACUCAAGGUGGCAUUUCCUGCUCCCUCCUCUGAGCAGGAUAUGGGUGGCUGGCUGGAGGGCAGGAUUCCUGGAGCAGCACUAAAAUACAUGCAGGUUUCUGGGGUCCUUUCUGUGGUCACCUUGGCAGUAAUGAGGACCAGCUCUCCUGCAGAAGAUCCUAUGAGAGACAUAGGAGAGGUGGUGGAAGAAGAUGGAGGUUGGGGUGGAAGCCAUCCAUUUUCAGACUUCCAUUCAUUCCUAAGGCUUCCUUCAGUAACAGCUGGGUUGGCAUUGAGUCUGUUCAAUAAAGUACU